AUACUGUUGAGGAGUCCCAUACCAGGACGAAACGGUCGUCCAGUGU
rnacentral:hammerhead_ribozyme from 1 species